UUAACAAUGUUCUGAAUCUAAUAGUGGU
rnacentral:piRNA from 1 species